rnacentral:rRNA from 1 species
AUUGAACGCUGGCGGCAGGCCUAACACAUGCAAGUCGAGCGAGCGGCGGACGGGUGAGUAAUGUAUGGGGAUCUGCCAGAUAGAGGGGGAUAACUACUGGAAACGGUGGCUAAUACCGCAUACUAUCGGAUGCGCCCAGAUGGGAUUAGCUAGUAGGUGGGGUAAUGGCUCACCUAGGCGACUAUCCCUAGCUGGUCUGAGAGGAUGAUCAGCCACACUGGAACUGAGACACGGUCCAGACUCCUACGGGAGGCAGCAGUGGGGAAUAUUGCACAAUGGGCGCAAGCCUGAUGCAGCCAUGCCGCGUGUAUGAAGAAGGCCUUCGGGUUGUAAAGUACUUUCAGCGGGGAGGCGUUACCCGCAGAAGAAGCACCGGCUAACUCCGUGCCAGCAGCCGCGGUAAUUC